rnacentral:rRNA from 1 species
UACAGAGGUCUCAAGCGUUGUUCGGAUUCAUUGGGCGUAAAGGGCGCGUAGGCGGCGGGGUAAGUCGGGUGUGAAAUCUCAGGGCUCAACCCUGAAACUGCACUCGAUACUGCUCUGCUUGAGGACUGGAGAGGAGACUGGAAUUCACGGUGUAGCAGUGAAAUGCGUAGAUAUCGUGAGGAAGACCAGUGGCGAAGGCGGGUCUCUGGGCCGUAACUGACGCUGAGGAGCGAAAGCGUGGGGAGCGAACAGG